CCUACGGGGAGGCAGCAGUGAGGAAGAUUGGGCAAUGGGAGAGAUCCUGAACCAGCCAAGCCGCGUGAGGGAAGACGGCCCUAUGGGUUGGAAACCUCUUUGGGCGGAGAACAAAACCCGGGACGUGUCCCGGACGGAGGGUAUCCGAAGAAAAAGCAUCGGCUAACUCCGUGCCAGCAGCCGCGGUAAUCCGGAGGAUGCGAGCGUUAUCCGGAUUGAUUGGGUUGAAAGGGUGCGUAGGCGGUCCGUUAAGUCAGCGGUAAAAUUGCGGGGCUCACCCCCGUCGCGCCGUUGAAACUGGCAGACUUGAGUUGGCGAGAAGUACGCGGAAUGCGCGGUGUAGCGGUGACAUGCAUAGAUAUCGCGCAGAACUCCGAUUGCGAAGGCAGCGUACCGGCGCCAGACUGACGCUGAGGCACGAAAGCGUGGGGAUCGAACAGGAUUAGAUACCCGUGUAGUC
rnacentral:rRNA from 1 species